AUGAUCGUCUACCGGGACCUCAUCAGCCAUGACGAGCUGUUCUCCGACAUCUACAAGAUCCGGGAGAUCGCGGACGGGCUGUGCCUGGAGGUGGAGGGCAAGAUGGUCAGUAGAACAGAGGGUGCCAUCGAUGACUCGCUCAUCGGUGGAAAUGCUUCCGCUGAAGGUCCGGAGGGCGAAGGUAUUGAAAGUACAGUAGUCACCGGUGUUGACAUUGUCAUGAACCAUCACUUACAAGAAACCAGCUUCACAAAAGAGGCCUACAAAAAGUACAUCAAAGACUACAUGAAAUCACUCAAAGGCAAACUUGAAGAGCAGAACCCAGAAAGAGUAAAGCCUUUUAUGACUGGAGCUGCAGAGCAGAUUAAGCACAUCCUUGCUAAUUUCAAGAACUACCAGUUUUUUAUUGGUGAAAACAUGAAACCAUCCAGAUGGUAUGGUUGCUCUCCUGGACUACCGUGAAGAUGGUGUGACUCCAUUCAUGAUUUUCUUUAAGGAUGGCUUAGAGAUGGAGAAAUGUUAA
rnacentral:lncRNA from 1 species